rnacentral:rRNA from 1 species
GAGUUUUGGAUCCUGGCUCAGAUUGAACGCUGGCGGCAGGCCUAACACAUGCAAGUCGAACGGUAACAGGAAGCAGCUUGCUGCUUUGCUGACGAGUGGCGGACGGGUGAGUAAUGUCUGGGAAACUGCCUGAUGGAGGGGGAUAACUACUGGAAACGGUGGCUAAUACCGCAUAACGUCGCAAGACCAAAGAGGGGGACCUUCGGGCCUCUUGCCAUCAGAUGUGCCCAGAUGGGAUUAGCUUGUUGGUGAGGUAACGGCUCACCAAGGCGACGAUCCCUAGCUGGUCUGAGAGGAUGACCAGCCACACUGGAACUGAGACACGGUCCAGACUCCUACGGGAGGCAGCAGUGGGGAAUAUUGCACAAUGGGCGCAAGCCUGAUGCAGCCAUGCCGCGUGUAUGAAGAAGGCCUUCGGGUUGUAAAGUACUUUCAGCGGGGAGGAAGGUGUUGUGGUUAAUAACCGCAGCAAUUGACGUUACCCGCAGAAGAAGCACCGGCUAACUCCGUGCCAGCAGCCGCGGUAAUACGGAGGGUGCAAGCGUUAAUCGGAAUUACUGGGCGUAAAGCGCACGCAGGCGGUCUGUCAAGUCGGAUGUGAAAUCCCCGGGCUCAACCUGGGAACUGCAUUCGAAACUGGCAGGCUUGAGUCUUGUAGAGGGGGGUAGAAUUCCAGGUGUAGCGGUGAAAUGCGUAGAGAUCUGGAGGAAUACCGGUGGCGAAGGCGGCCCCCUGGACAAAGACUGACGCUCAGGUGCGAAAGCGUGGGGAGCAAACAGGAUUAGAUACCCUGGUAGUCCACGCCGUAAACGAUGUCUACUUGGAGGUUGUGCCCUUGAGGCGUGGCUUCCGGAGCUAACGCGUUAAGUAGACCGCCUGGGGAGUACGGCCGCAAGGUUAAAACUCAAAUGAAUUGACGGGGGCCCGCACAAGCGGUGGAGCAUGUGGUUUAAUUCGAUGCAACGCGAAGAACCUUACCUGGUCUUGACAUCCACGGAACUAUUCCAGAGAUGGAUUGGUGCCUUCGGGAACCGUGAGACAGGUGCUGCAUGGCUGUCGUCAGCUCGUGUUGUGAAAUGUUGGGGUUAAGUCCCGCAACGAGCGCAACCCUUAUCCUUUGUUGCCAGCGGUCCGGCCGGGAACUCAAAGGAGACUGCCAGUGAUAAACUGGAGGAAGGUGGGGAUGACGUCAAGUCAUCAUGGCCCUUACGACCAGGGCUACACACGUGCUACAAUGGCGCAUACAAAGAGAAGCGACCUCGCGAGAGCAAGCGGACCUCAUAAAGUGCGUCGUAGUCCGGAUUGGAGUCUGCAACUCGACUCCAUGAAGUCGGAAUCGCUAGUAAUCGUGGAUCAGAAUGCCACGGUGAAUACGUUCCCGGGCCUUGUACACACCGCCCGUCACACCAUGGGAGUGGGUUGCAAAAGAAGUAGGUAGCUUAACCUUCGGGAGGGCGCUUACCACUUUGUGAUUCAUGACUGGGGGUGAAGUCGUAACAGGG